AACUGCGAGUGAAGCGGGAAAAGCUCAAAUUUAAAAUCUGGUGGUUCUUUGGCCGCCCGAGUUGUAAUUUAGAGAAGCGUCUUCCGCGCCGGACCGUGCACAAGUCUCCUGGAAUGGAGCGUCAUAGAGGGUGAGAAUCCCGUCUUUGGCACGGAUGCCUGGUGCUUCUGUGAUGCGCUCUCAAAGAGUCGAGUUGUUUGGGAAUGCAGCUCAAAAUGGGUGGUGAACUCCAUCUAAAGCUAAAUAUUGGCGAGAGACCGAUAGCGAACAAGUACCGUGAGGGAAAGAUGAAAAGCACUUUGGAAAGAGAGUGAAACAGUACGUGAAAUUGUUGAAAGGGAAACGCUUGAAGUCAGUCGCGUCGACCGAGACUCAGCCUUGCCUUGGCUUGGUGUACUUCUCGGCACGACGGGUCWGCGUCAAUUUUGCUCCUCGGAUAAUGGCAAGGGAAAGGUGGCACCUUUGCAGGUGUGUUAUAGUCUCCUGUCGCAUGCGAGGGAUGAGAUUGAGGAACUCAGCACGCACCUCCGAGGUGUUGGGGCUUUG
rnacentral:rRNA from 1 species